rnacentral:rRNA from 1 species
GAUGAACGCUGGCGGCGUGCCUAAUACAUGCAAGUCGAGCGAACAGACGAGGAUCUUGCUCCUCUGAUGUUAGCGGCGGACGGGUGAGUAACACGUGGAUAACCUACCUAUAAGACUGGGAUAACGUCGGGAAACCGGAUCUAAUACCGGAUAACAUGGUGAACCGCAUGGUUCAACAGUGAAAGACGUUCUUGCUGUCACUUAUAGAUGGAUCCGCGCCGCAUUAGCUAGUUGGUAAGGUAACGGCUUACCAAGGCAACGAUGCGUAGCCGACCUGAGAGGGUGAUCGGCCACACUGGAACUGAGACACGGUCCAGACUCCUACGGGAGGCAGCAGUAGGGAAUAUUCCGCAAUGGGCGAAAGCCUGACGGAGCAACGCCGCGUGAGUGAAGAAGGUCUUCGGAUCGUAAAACUCUGUUAGUAGGGAAGAACAAAUGUGUAAGUAACUAUGCACGUCUUGACGGUACCUAAUCAGAAAGCCACGGCUAACUACGUG